AUACGUAGGGGGCAAGCGUUGUCCGGAAUGAUUGGGCGUAAAGGGCGCGUAGGCGGCCCGGUAAGUCUGGAGUGAAAGUCCUGUUUUUGAGAUGGGAAUUGCUUUGGAUACUGUCGGGCUUGAGUGCAGGAGAGGGAAGUGGAAUUCCCAGUGUAGCGGUGAAAUGCGUAGAGAUUGGGAGGAACACCAGUGGCGAAGGCGACUUACUGGACUGUAACUGACGCUGAGGCGCGAAAGUGUGGGGAGCAAACAGGAUUAGAUACCCUGGUAGUCCACACUGUAAACGAUGAAUGCUAGGUGUAGGGGGUAUCGACCCCUUCUGUGCCGCAGUCAACACAAUAAGUAUUCCGCCUGGGGAGUACGGCCGCAAGGUUGAAACUCAAAGGAAUUGACGGGG
rnacentral:rRNA from 1 species